rnacentral:rRNA from 1 species
AUUGAACGCUGGCGGCAUGCCUUACACAUGCAAGUCGAACGGCAGCAUGGAGAGCUUGCUCUCUGAUGGCGAGUGGCGAACGGGUGAGUAAAGCAUCGGAACGUACCGUGUAGUGGGGGAUAACGUAGCGAAAGUUACGCUAAUACCGCAUACGCACUGAGGGGGAAAGCAGGGGAUCGUAAGACCUUGCGCUAUACGAGCGGCCGAUGUCAGAUUAGCUAGUUGGUAGGGUAAAGGCCUACCAAGGCGACGAUCUGUAGCGGGUCUGAGAGGAUGAUCCGCCACACUGGGACUGAGACACGGCCCAGACUCCUACGGGAGGCAGCAGUGGGGAAUUUUGGACAAUGGGGGCAACCCUGAUCCAGCCAUGCCGCGUGAGUGAAGAAGGCCUUCGGGUUGUAAAGCUCUUUCGGCCGGGAAGAAAUCGCACAGGCUAAUACCCUGUGUGGAUGACGGUACCGGCAUAAGAAGCACCGGCUAACUACGUG